rnacentral:rRNA from 1 species
CCUACGGGGGGCUGCAGUGGGGAAUAUUGGACAAUGGGGGCAACCCUGAUCCAGCCAUGCCGCGUGUGUGAAGAAGGCCCUCGGGUUGUAAAGCACUUUCAGUGAGGAAGAACGCCUGGUGGUUAAUACCCAUCAGGAAAGACAUCACUCACAGAAGAAGCACCCGCUAACUCCGUGCCAGCAGCCGCGGUAAUACGGAGGGUGCGAGCGUUAAUCGGAAUUACUGGGCGUAAAGCGCGCGUAGGUGGCUUGAUAAGCCGGUUGUGAAAGCCCCGGGCUCAACCUGGGAACGGCAUCCGGAACUGUCAAGCUAGAGUGCAGGAGAGGAAGGUAGAAUUCCCGGUGUAGCGGUGAAAUGCGUAGAGAUCGGGAGGAAUACCAGUGGCGAAGGCGGCCUUCUGGACUGACACUGACACUGAGGUGCGAAAGCGUGGGUAGCAAACAGGAUUAGAUACCCGUGUAGUC